GUUGUAUAGUCAAGUAAUGAAGUGCACAUGGUGGAUGCCUUGGCAGUCAGAGGCGAUGAAAGACGUGACAGCCUGCGAAAAGCGUCGGGGAGGCGGCAAUAUCCUGUGAUCCGGCGAUAUCUGAAUGGGGAAACCCACCUACCAUAAGGUAGGUACCCCGCUAUAUUUUAUAGCGGGGGGCAAACCGGGAGAAGUGAAACAUCUCAGUAACCCGAGGAAAAGACAUCAAUAGAGAUUCCCCUAGUAGCGGCGAGCGAACGGGGAGGAGCCGACUGAUUAUAAUUUAGAGGAAUGACUUGGAAAGGUCAAUCGUAGAGGGUGAUAAUCCCGUACUCGAAA
rnacentral:rRNA from 1 species